rnacentral:rRNA from 1 species
UAGUGAACAAGUACCGUGAGGGAAAGGCGAAAAGAACCCCGGGAGGGGAGUGAAAUAGAUCCUGAAACCGCAUGCAUACAAAAAGUCGGAGCCGCAAGGUGACGGCGUACCUUUUGUAUAAUGGGUCAGCGACUUACAUUCAGUGGCGAGGUUAACCGAAUAGGGAAGCCGUAGAGAAAUCGAGUCCGAAUAGGGCGAAUAGUCGCUGGGUGUAGACCCGAAACCAAGUGAUCUAUCCAUGGCCAGGAUGAAGGUACCGUAACAGGUGCUGGAGGUCCGAACCGACUAGUGUUGCAAAACUAGCGGAUGAGCUGUGGAUAGGGGUGAAAGGCUAAACAAACUUGGAAAUAGCUGGUUCUCUCCGAAAACUAUUUAGGUAGUGCCUCAAGUAUUACCUGCGGGGGUAGAGCACUGUUUAGGUUAGGGGGUCAUGGCGACUUACCAAACCUUAGCAAACUCCGAAUACCGCAGAGUACAGCUUGGGAGACAGAGCACCGGGUGCUAACGUCCGGACUCAAGAGGGAAACAACCCAGACCGCCAGCUAAGGUCCCAAAAUAUUGCUAAGUGGGAAACGAUGUGGGAAGGCAUAGACAGCUAGGAGGUUGGCUUAGA